GCUGAAGAUUUCUGCCUACCUGAGGACCUUCUGGGCUAUCUGAAGAUUUUUGCUGCAAGAGAGAAUUGGACUGCCCUAUCAUAGUGAGAGAGUUCUCCAUAGUGCUAGAUCACCUGCCACUGAGCAGCAUACUGGAAGCUUAAAAGAGGUAAUAGCAUCACAUCAGUUUCUUGCUACUGCCAUGCUGAGCAGUAUUUAUACACUGGGAGGUAAAAGUCAUCAAUGAAGCUAAUGUGCUCUGCCCAGAUGGCAUAGACAAUCCGAAGAGAACCCUGGAAAAUGUCAAAGCAAGGAAAACAGAAGUUAAUAUUAACUCCGAGAAGAAAGCAAAAAUAAAAGCUUCAAGGCAGUUCAGUGCACAGCUAUGACACCUAGCGCCCUCCCAGCAUAGCACGGGACUUUAAAAGCAUGCAUUGAUGAAAUAUGAAGGAUCUGUCCAUUGAUGAUGGAACUGGGCAAAUGCCCAGGGCUGACCACCAAGCUUAAACACAAGUGUUGUCCUGAGGACACUGCUCCCCAAAAUGGCUGUAGCAUGUCACUGUCUCUGAUUGAUGAAAGCAGCUAAGUAAGGAGAGUUUGGUGCCUCAUGUUUUAUGCUGUCACCCCAAAGACUGUCCUCUCUGCUGUUUCUCUGUCAUUUUAAAAAAAAAUCAUUAAUUUUAUUUAAUUUUAUUAACUUAAUCCCAUGUAUUUAUUUGUUUCUGUAGCUAAUUAAUCUGAAGGUGCUGGUUAGGAGGAAAGCCCACUUGGGAAAGCUACUGUAACAGGAGUUCCUGCUUUUAGCUGAAACUCUUCGUUUCAAUAAAUUUUUGGUACUGCCUUUUCCUAUCUUCUGGAAACAGAGGUCUGUUCACUUGUGUAUUGUGAGAGCAGCUAAUGGUUUUGUCAUAGGGGAUAGCUGCACAAAACUUGUAAGGCCUUAAUUAGGGGCUGGGAUGAGCAUGGAAAGCAUGCAUGUGAAACCCACUGUUUGCUAAUACGCUGCCUAAUGCUGGGGUUCUUUGAGGAGCUAUGGGAUGAAAGGAGAACCUGUAGGUCAAAUUCUUCAUUGCUGCAGCUUCAUUUUUCUGCAUGUUGACCUUGUUUAAAAAUAGGUUGAGCAAUGCUUAUGCUACCCAUUUGUUUUCUAGAGGACAGACAAGUCAUUCACUUGUGUGUUGCUCAGUGUUUGGAAGCAAAGAACAUGUAAUUGGGGCAGGGUAUUUGUGGCUGGCCUGCACAAAUAGUUUGACUAAUCAGUAACCAGUUGCUGAAAAUAUCACCUGAAAACACAACUGGAGACAGUAGCUGAUGUCUUACCUUGGUAGUUUAUUAACCCAAUACUGAGUCUUAAAUUGAUUUCACAAUUAACUUUCCAGCUGAAAGAUAAAUUGCUGUAAGCCAUAACUGCUAUAAAUGAAUUUCACUAUCUCCCUCAAGGAGUUUCUGAAGGAUUAACUGAAUCAGUUUAAUAACAGAUUGUUGUUAAACUGGGAACUAUUUAGUGUGAACCAGUCCUUGGGGCUGGGAGGUUUUGUGGUGAAUCAGAGGAAGGACUGCCAGCCAGGUCCUGGGGAGGAACCUCAGUUUCUGGUGCUUCUACCUGGAUCUCCUUGGCAAGGAGAGCUGUCUGUGCAUCAGCAGCCAUCAAUUCCUCUGCUGUCACUGGGGAGAUAAAAAAAAAUCUUCCUUAAACCAGAUCAAAAAUGCUACAACCACAAGAGACAAACUGCCAGGACAGUGUAAUUACUUUCUGUCAGUUCCAAUUUCCUGAAAACGUGUCAGUGUAUCACCUGUUUUUCAGUGUGCUGUGGAUCAAUUAUUGUUCAUCUGUUGCACCUGGACUGGAGCUUCUGGAUCUAGCUAUCCUAUAUAGCAUACAAAUUUCAGACUGCACUAAGUCCUUCUGACGUGUUUGUGUGCAUAUGUUUAAGCUGGAUCAGCCUUGCACUGGACACAGGUUCACUAUUAAUGUUUUUUUUAAUCCCAGCCUAAGAAAUAGCAGCCUGGGUGUGUUAUUCUGCUCAGUCCUCUGCUGAGGUCACGUAGGUUGUGCCACACAUAAUGGUGUUGUUUUCUCUGAGAGAUAACUGCAUUUCAAAUAAAGCUUUCUCUCUGUGAUAAGAGAGGAAAACAUGAGCAAAUGUCUUAAGAAGGUGAUAAUGAGAGCACAGGUUGCAAAAUUUGUAAUAUCUUUGGAGGCAAUAGCUCAGAUAAUGUCCCCUUAGGUACCUGAGAGCAUUGCAUUCGCAGUGGCAUCUUGAAUACUGAUGGAAAAAGCAACAGCUAUUUGCUAAGUUGUGCAACUGGAAGUAGUGUGCUGUUUAAUGGGCAUAAAGUCAUCUGCAUGGAACAACCAGUCUGCCCACUGAUUUAAGUUUGGGAGCCUGGAUGUUGUUCGGGACCCAGAUGCUAUCUGCCCAAACUCAGUACUCUGGUGGCACAGUAAAUGUGUCUCACUGGGCUACUGUACCUCAGACUUGCUGAGGAGAUGGUGCUGUAAGAUGCUAGUAAAAAAAACAUGCUAUGAUCAUUAAAUGUCUAGUGAUCUUAUAGGCAUCUAUAUUGCACAGUGAUAAGCACUGUCUGGCACUUAUGGCAGCCCUCUCAACGAGGAGCUCAGUGAUAGGCAUGAAGAUUAAUUUCUGCUGGGUCAAGGAAGGAGUGAGAAGCUGGGCGGUCUGCCCUGAUCCUGUGCUGUGAGAGUUUGGGGGCUUUUUGACUGCUUGUGUUUGGUGGGUUAUUUGUAUUACUUCUUAAAAACAUUGUUCACAGAUCAAUUAAACUUCCCUACCAUUAUCAUAAUUCCAGCCUGCUGGCCUGGUCCUCCCUCCUAAAUUACCAGGUUAGAAGGUGGGCAUCAGUUAGAGGAGUUGGUACAGAGAGUGGGAAGUGGUAUGAGGUGCUCCCAGUUUGCCCUCAGGCAAUUCACUGUGCUGUGUAUGUAUUGCACAGAAAGAGACUGUUCGAAAAAGGCAGCAGACUCCACUAACUCACUACAAUGCUUAUUUGGAGUUUGGAAGCCUCUUAUCUUUUCCUUGAAUUAUGAAAUCUGGAAAAAACAAAGUAAUCCCUGGCUGUAGACCACUGGUAGUGCCUCGUGUUUUAAGUGGAAGUGCCCUAUUCCAAUGGUGAUACUGCGAACUGUGUAACCUUAAGUUACGUUUACUAUUGAGUGGAACACAGAACUCUAAUGACAUCUUUUUAUUUCAAAAAAGCUCUGUGCAUGUGUCACCUGUGUGUUUUGAUAUCAGAUAUCUUCUGCUAGGCAUCUCUGUAAACUAUAAUGAUGCAGAAAGGAGUAAAAUCUGCUAGGACACCAAAUGCGGUGUUGAGUAUGAGUAUUCUGGCUUAACUUGGAUGUGUGUGGCUGUGUAGUGCUUCUAACUACUUGCUGUUCUAAUCUAGAAGAGUUGUUCCUUGCAGGGAAAAUGUUUUGCUACUGCAAGGUUCUUAGUCAUCAAUCACAUGUUGUGGGAUGGCCCACAACUGUAGGAGGAGGGUCGAUAUUUGCGGUCUGCUUGGACCAGACGCAAUAAGGAAAUGUUAAACAUCAUAUCGUCAUCAAGGUUGGAAUAGACCACUAAGAUAACCUAGUCAAAUCAAUAACCCAUCCCCACUGUGCUCACUAGCCAUGUCCUUUGGUGCCACAUCUACACAUUUCUUGAACACCUCCCUGCGCAGCCUUUGUCAGUGUCUCACCCUUCUUUCAGAGAAGGGUUUUUUCCUUGUAUCCAUCCAGAACCUUCCCAGAUGAGAGAGAACUGAAGCAAAAGGACAAGGGUAAGAAUGGGGAGGGAGAUUAGGUGCACUGGUGUAGAAUCAUAGAAUCCUUAAAGUUGGAAGGGACCUCUGAAGGCCAUCUAGUCUGGCUCCCCUGCAGUGAACAGGGACAUGUAUAGCUAGCUCAGGUUGCCCGUUGCCUGAUCCAGGGAUGGGGCAUCAACUGCAUCACUGGGCAGCCUGUUCCAGUGCCUCACUGUGUGGGAAUCAUAGGUUGUUUCUGCAUUAGAACAAGAUAGGGAUUUUUAUUCCAUGGUCUCUGCUGCCAUAGUCUUUUGUGGGGGCCUCUGAUAGUUUUCAUCACUUAUCCUCUAGAUGAACCUUCCCCAGCAAUGCAUACUUAAUACACAGGUGAGGUAAUUUAUAAUCACAGAGGUUAGGUAGAUGGAAUAGGUUAUAGGCAAAAAGACUGCAGCUCCUGUCUGUCCAGCCUUUAGAAAUAUGUCUGAGCCUUAUUAAUAUUUGGUACUGGACAGACAAGACCUGAGUAAUAGAGAAUUUAAGGAGGAGAAGUUUAAAAAAUAGCAAUAUACAUGUGUAGCUACCAACAACUUAUGUCCAGUCAGCAUGAAUAUAUGUAAUAUUUAAAUGAAGUCAUACACAUUGCAAGAAUAUCCUGCAUGAGAUUGAUCAAACCAGAGAACAAGUCAUGACAUGCCCAAGGAAGUGCUUGAAGAGGCAUUAGGAAGACCUGGCAUCUUCCCCCCUUAGCGCUCUUUGUUAAACAAAGGAAGCAGCCUUUGGGCAGAAUGGAAGAAGCCUUGGAGAGAAUCACCAGAUCAAUGUGAUAAGGAGAGCACUGAGACAUCUUGGAAACAGCAGGAUGGUGACUGACUGGCACAAGAUGGUGCAUGAAUCAGCAAGUGUCAGAAUGUAAUUAACAAAUGUAAGUCUUUGGUAGGAGCCUGGAGUACCCAGCCAAUGGGAAAAUGGGAGGGGGUAGGCAUGGGAGAGGACAAGGUAGAAAAGCUGCACUAUUGCAUCCAUAGGCACGCUCCUGCUUGUAGGAUGCUUGCCAUUGCAAUUGCGAAUACAAUCUGCUUUUACCAGAGAUACUGUCCUGACAAAACUAUUUGGAUAUUUUCAACAACUGCAGAAGACCCAACCUAAAUAUACCCUCUUUGAGCUUGAAGUCAUUUCCCUUUGUUCUAUCACCACAGACUCAGCUAAGGAGUCUGUCCCCUUCUUUCCUAUAACAUUCCUUAAGAUACUGAAAGGCUGCUGUCAGGUCACCUGCAGUCACAUGUGCUGUAUGAAUGAUCUCCUUGAUCCUUUUGGCUAAUCUUAUUGCUCCUGUGAUGACUCAGGGGUUAGGAAUGAGGGUGUAACACAGGGCUGGCAAGCACUUGUCUGCUUUGGUGAUCUGAAAAUACAUCUGGGAGGAAAGAUGUACCCCUGUUCUUAGUCCUUUAUGCCAGCUUCUGAUCCAAAUAGCCUUAAUGAGGAUAGGAGCUGGGUGUCCUCAGCAAGUUCCACCAAGUAAGGGAAGCAGCAAAUGAGAAGAAACAACAGCACUGACAUCGGUGAUCCAAAAGAUAAUUCAAAUGACAGUGAUUUUUCAGGGAGUUCUCACUUUCAUGUUUUGAGGAUUUCUUCCAGUGCCAUCUUUCAUGGAACAAAGUAUCUUGGGUAAAGAGGAUAGUUCUCUUGGCAGGUGCUGUAAAUCAUUUAAGAAUGAUACUUCAUACAGAACCUCUCCUUGCAGGAUGCAGUGAAUGUGCCAUAGUGCAGGUGUUGUGAAUAAAGUAUAACAACCAUCACACUGAUGGGGGAAUAACAGUUAACUCAGUGCCACACAAAGCUUCUCCAUCACAGCUAGGAAUGAAGUAUGUAUUCCUUGAACAACUAGGAAUAAAUUGUGUAUUCUUUGGCUCCCAAAACAAGUCUUUUCUUGGAGAAGAAUUCUUUUAAUAGUAGUGAUAUUGACUAACAUCCUUGUACUCUAGUGUGGUCUGCCUAGUAUUGAUAGUUUGCCUCAACUCAUGAAAUGUAUAGCUUGGAUGCCUUUUACUGAUAUCAUUUUCAUUAUUAGUCUGCCUUUUCCCAACUUCCAUUCCUAUCACACUGAGUUUUUGAGGUUUUUAUAGGAGGAAAUGUAGUCUGUCCUAGAAAGAAAAAGAAACGAGGGAAAUCUAAACUCCCCUGCUGCAUAUCAUUUGAACUUCCCACCCUGUGCUUAAGUAUGAUGGUCAUUGUAAAGAAAGAAAUCUCUCCAUCUUCUCCUGGAACUUUUUAGUAAUUUCAAGGACAGAAUAAGGCUAAAGCAUUUUAUUUUGCAUCUUUUGUGCAGCCAUUUAUAGCUGUGUAAAAGAACAAACAAACACUUAUAUCUCACUCCAAUAACACUUAGCUUGCCCUGGUAAAAAUGGCUGCACAAGGGGUAGAGAGAUACAGGAGGAAAAAGCAAUCCUUUUCACUUCUGGAUGGCAGCAUCUAUGAGUGUGGAAGACUGAAUGUGACAGUGCUGAGUCCCAUCAAAAGGGGAACUCCAGGAUGUGGCUGCCCUGUUUCAGCAAAUACCAGUCUCCUUUGUUGCAAGACUUUCUGCAUGCAUCAUCAGUCACUUGACAUUCUGCGAACCCUGGAAACACAGAAACAGCAGCAUCAAUGCUAAUUUGUUUAUCUGUUUUAAGGAACUCGUUUACAGUUUGACUUUAGUCACGUUGCUUCCCAAAUUAACUUUCAAGUGCCUGACUGAGCCCAGGGUCACUGGAGGGCAGCCAGCCUGUCCAUGGCCUUUACCAUUAUUCUUCCUUAUUCCCCAUUCUAAUGACUAAGCUUACCCACAUUUGUAGUGCUCAUGACCUCCCUGGGCUUUCUAACCAUUAUUCAUAAUUGUGAUUCAUUGGCUGUCACCAAGGCCGAUGCUUGUGGUGCAUGGGGACAGCCAAGCUGCUUGAGCUGUAGGUUUAAUCCAGUAGAUGGAGCAGCUGCCUGACACUGUGGAGAUGCCCUGUGGCUCUUUCUCCUGCGGUGUGAUCCGGUGGUGUAGGGUAGCUAGUAGUUAUUAACUGAAAUGUGGGCACUAUUUGUUAGCAUCCACAAGCAAGAGUGAAAUCUCUGCUCUGCUGAAUGCUCUGAGAUUUGAUUUCUUCCUUCUCUUGUGUGAUCCCAUUAAAAAAAUCCUCCAAUCUUUAUAGAGUUUGUUGUUAGCCUUUUAGAGCUGGCAAGUCAGAAUGGGAUCUCUGUUACGGAUGGUGUAAAUCUGGGAUAUCAUCUGAUGUUGGUUUGAUGGAUGGAGACUGAUCUGAGAUCCAGCCCAUCCUGGGGUGUCAGAGCAGCAGGCAGUGCCUGCAUGUCUUCUAUAAUUAUCAGUGACUGUAGUCUAAGAUGGCCCGGCACACCUCGUAGAGUCCAGGAUUUCCAGCUAAUAGCUGUGAUGCACCCCUUAUGUGUAAACUGUUCUACUUUGUCCUGUGGGAAUGGAGUGCAAGGUAAACUUUCCACUCACAAAGCUUUGUAUGCUAUUACAGUGCUUUCUCUAUUCCCUCCCAGAUCAAUUUUCUCUUCUGUUCUUUGUUAACCUUCUUAAAUAGUGCCCCUGUGCUGCUGACAGUGAAGUGCUACUAAAUUGUGAUGUGGUUUAGAGAUGACAAUUUCAAACAAACUAUGUAUGAUAGGCCCUCAUCCUAAUACUACUUAAAUGUGUAGCUUGGGAGGCAAGAAAGGUAGGUAAUUAUGUCGUUUAUAUCUUGAUGUGAACCCAUAUCUAUGAAUGCAAAACCCAUGGCUGCCUUGAACACAGGAGCUAUUGUUUGCAGUAUCAGUGCUACCCCAGGCAGGUGGAGCUCAGCCUCACAACAAAACAACCAUCACAACAUCUUUGCAUGUUCUCAAGCCCCACUUGAGGAGUCCAAACAGAGCUCAUGAAGGUUCUGGUGUUACUAAGGCAGCACAGUGCCUCCCUUCACAGGGUCAAACUUGUGUUGCCCACUGAGCUCUCGCCCACUUGCACUAUUUAGAGCUGUUCCGUGAUCAUGUAGAGAUGCUGCCAUGAUGACAACAGCAUGUAGAGACAACUUUAUUGGUUUUUUUAAUAUUGGCCAGAGCCUCUGGGAAGUUCUCUUUCUGUCAGUUUGGCUCAUUUCACUAGCAGAUCAGAGAUAAGGCCUACCAGCAGAACCAUUCUGUUGCUGCUUUGUUGCCAUGAGUCAGGAAACAGUGUGGGCAUGACUGAUCCUCUGCCCAAGGUGGCACUGCAGGAAUUUGGGCCAGUGGCAUUAAACAGAGUACUACCUGGACUGCUGACACUUUUGCCAGAUUGGACCAAGCUUUCUUGUGGAUCUGGAGGUGCUGUCUCUUUGCUCUUGCAUCGAGCAGAGCUCUGCUUCCAGGGAAUCUGGCCCACUGUGAUUAAUUCUUCAGUUGAAGCCUAGGUGCCAUUGCUUUAAUUUCUUUCUUCUAAGAUAUCAUCUUGUGUUGCAGUAUUAAAUAUCUAAACCCCUCAGGGAUUCCUUAAGCAAUAAGUGAUACAGGAUGUAGUCUGAGAGCUGGGAAAGAGAACUUACUGACAAGACACAGAGAGCAGUGUUUGGUGGAGACCCAGCUUCUAUUUUGCUUUCCUGAACACUGGACUAAUUUAUGUCUAAAGGAUACAUGCUCCCUUCUCAUUUUCUGCCUUUGGCUCUUGUAUCUAUACCUUCUCUUGGCUGGCCGUAUUAGAAAGAUCACGAUCUCCUUUUAAAUUCUUAUUUUCAAACCUCUUUUUGGCCUUUGUAUGAUAUUAAUGACUUGGAAAUAUAACACUGAAGGCUAUAUUCAAGUCAGAUGUAAUUCCUUAGAUAUGUAGCUUCCCAUUAUUUUGGUAAUAUUAAAUAAAAUAAAUAGUAUUUGCAUAGUAGAAACAAUAAUUUCUUGGAUUUCUAAUUAUCUGCCUUUCAUACACUUCAGAAAGAGAAAUUAUCUGUGGUGGGUAAAUCAGUGGUGUUCCCCUGUGGUCUUUUAGAAGUUCAGCGUGAACACCGUGACAGCACAGGUAGUACUAGAAAUAAGCCUGCAUUUUUUUUAUCAACUAUUGUCUAAAAUGUAGAGUCGAAUUGAAUCCAGUGGUUCCUUGACUGGGAUAAAGCAAGACUGGCUUCUUCCCAGCUGGAGGCUGCACUGCCUCCUCACAUCCCUAUUCAGUGCUCUGCCCUGACUGACUGAGGUGCCAAUUAGUGCAGCUGCCCUUUGAUGUUAGGGAAACUUGUCUGGGGUGAACCAAAUGGAGAUUAAAUUGCCAUCAGAAGAUAAUGAUCACUUAGCUGAGCCAAUUGACUCCUGCAAAAAUGGUGCUUGCAAGAUUGUGUCCUUAACCAGACAUGCAUAUCUCUCCUAAUCUUUCUGUGUGGGUUUCCUCUUAAAAAUACUUUCCAAUUUGACUUCUGUCAAGGUAAGAAACCUGAAUUUUCUUGGGGCGUUAACAGCAAUACCUAGCCUCCCUAUCUCCCUACUGAAGCUUGCGCCAUUAAAAUCAGCCUCUGCAAGAUGCAGAGUGCUGAUGCCCAAGAGAAACAGUGAAACCUUUCCCCAGCUGACGAGCCCUGACAAGCUCUGGCACUUCAUACUGCUGUUUUCCUGGCCCUGUGACAGGGUAAGCGGAUACCCCAGUGUGUGUUCCUGGGCCAUGUGCCUGCCAAGCUGGAGAGCAACUGCUUCAGAGAAGUUUGAGCAGGUAGAACAGAUCCCUUUCCUCCCAGGCUGUGUCCUGGCAGAGCAAACUAACUUAUGAGAGGGUCAGAUUGGGAAUUCCUUUGGAAUGAGAAACAUACCCUACAGCAUUUCCACCAAGAUGAAUGCUAGAUUUGCAGCGUAUACACAAGUGAACUAAUUUUCAUCUUGUUUUUCUUAUCUCUGAAAAUCUUGACAUGUAUCUGCCUGUGUACUGACUCAGCUCACUGGUGAAAAGGCAUUUCUGAGGCACUGGUCUUUGUCAGCUGAUAUGUCCCUGCUUACCCUGCUAUACCUUGUCCUUCUACCUGGCAACAUUGGUAUGGAGGACCCAAGCUCAAGGUCAGACAGGGAUGGAAGAGGAGGGAAGCUGCAAAGAUCUCUAAGAGGGUGAGGAACUGUGGGCAUGGAGAGAUGCUACCAAAAUCUAAUUUUAGCUUGAAGCGUUCAUUUCCACGAAAGCAAACAAGCAAAUCUGGAAUCAGAACAUUAAAUCAGCUUGGCUUUUUGUGACUUCUUUCUCUUCCUUCUUUAAAAUGCUUUUUCUUGGGAAGCCUUUGAGUAUUUAACAUUAUCUCAAACCCAGAAUUAAUUCUGGGAACUCUAAAGCAUCUGGGGAGUACAUAUCACUGUAAUUAUAAGUUGUUUCCCUUUUUAUUUAACAGAAGGGGGAAAAAAAAAGAUAGAACCACUUCAACUUAGUAUAAAGGAUUUCCACAGCAGAAGUUGCGGUCGGGGUUUUAAAACAAAUGUUUUUGUGAAGUCUAAGCCAUGACCUCUGUCUUUAGAAACACCAGACCAAGAAUUUGGUUAUGGUAACCAGAAAGAUGCAUGGAAAUGUCAGUGAGUUGAACUGUGCAAUGAUUUCGUUCCGGUGCUGUCCUACUGGCUUUACUGGAGCUGCUCCAUCACGGCAAAAUUUCUGACUGCUCAUAGUUUUUUUUUUCUAUUUUCAGCAGUGGAAUUGUUUCACAAACCUGGUGAAAGUUAUGGAUUGGAAAGAGAUCUACCCUGGUGAGAUUUGUGCCAUUGUGUCAGGAAGCCUCUUGUCCAAUCUGGUGCAAAACCUGAGCAAGUUCUGGGGCAGUUUGAGGUUCAGCAGCAAAGAUCAUCCGUUCCUCUGCUCAGGACAGGAUCAGAAAUUGUGUUGACCCUGACAGACACACAAAGGAGAGCAGGGUUUGGCAAAUACUGGUCUCUACCUGUAAUACUACCGGUCUUCUAAAGUGCUUGGAGAUAGAUGCAUUCUAGAAGUCAGCCUACAUAGCGCAGCCAGUAUUUGCGGUGCUCCUUGCUUUAGGCUUUGUGUUUGGUAGGUGCUUCGACUUGGCCCGUGGGCUGAACUUUCUGCUGUGCUAGACCCUGAUGGAUGGAGAGAAGCUGAGGUAGGCACUGAACAGAUAUCAGCUGGGUCCUCUCCAGGGCUCUGCUGACCUCCAGGUUACCUUGUCUUAGAUUUAAAAGGUCCCCCUUCCUUAUGUGAUGAGCAGCGUAUGUCUGGGUGCAAAGCCCUCCACUAAAUCCACUGCUCCAAACGCUCACAGAUAAGUAGAACUCUUAGAGAUAAUCUCAUCCUCUGUAAAAUUUGGCUGACUUUAAUGCAGGUGCUAUUUUGAAGGUUUGAUAGAAAAUGCAUCCGCAGUCAAAUAAUUUGAAAGUAAUCUUUUGGUUUAGGGGAAAAAUGCUAAUGGAAAUCAGCCGAGGGGAACAUCCGGAAGCAUGCCCCGCUUCUGAAAGAAACAUUUAAGUCUACUGCUGAAUCUUGAAGACUAUAUUAUCCUGAUAGCAUUAUAGGGAAGUAAUGGUCCUCAGAUGUGUGUACGCUCUAUCGCAUUAGAAAUUGCUUUUUUUUUUUUUUUUGAAUGCAAAUAGGUUUGUGUAUAGCCUAGCUAUAAGCUGCUGCUUUAAAUUUUCCGUUGCUUUAUGGGAAGCUGAAAAUUAGAUAAGCGAGCCUGGCUUUAUAUGAGGGCUCUGCCAAAAGUAGUGCCUCCUAUUUUAUUAUGGUGGCUCAUGACGUCAGAGGCAGAUGUUGGUGGUAUGGCAAUAGAAGUUGAGCCUUCCUACCAAUAUUCCCUUACAUGUUGUUGCUGUGUGACAAAUGGAAGCAGAGGGGCUGUCUGACAAACCGGUGUCUGAUGUGGAAGUGUAAAUGAAACAGAGGUGUGUCGCUGAAUUCCUCCAUGUGGAAAAAAUUGCAUCCACUGACAUUCAUGGACACUUGCUGAACAUUUCUGGAGACCAAACAGUGGAUGUGUGCACAGCAAGGUGGUGGGUGGUGCUUUCAGCACUCGCAAGAGUGAUAUUAAAGACAAUCUAUGUUCCAAAUGGCCAUGCAUGGCUGUUACACCAUGCAGUGAAGAGUGUCUUGAUCAGCUCAUCCAUGUGAAUCAGUGAUUUAUGUAAUUUAUGAUAAGGGAACUGUGUAUGCAGUUGGAAAGCAGCUUCAGUGCAUUGGAAAUGAUAGUAGCAAUUUUGGAACAUCACAAAGUUUUCUGUGAGUCCCACAGAUGCACGCACGGGAACAGGAAGAACACCAUAUGCAAGUCUGUCACGACCUAUCAAGCCAGUAUGAGGCUGAAGGUGACAGUUUCUUGGAUCACACAAUUACUGGAGAUGAGAUGUGGUAUCCCUGCUAUGAACCAGAGGCAAAACGGCAGUCUACGGAGUGGUUACAUGUGGAUUCCUCAUCGAAAACAAAGCUGAAGAAACAGCUCUCAGCAGGUAAAGUGUGAUACACAUCGUCUUUUGGGAUAGGAAAAUAGUGAUCCUUCUGGAACCUAGACAAACCAUCAACUGUGACUGAUGCAUUGUGACACUAACUAAGCUGUAGGCUCCAACUUCCAGAGUCAGGCCAGAGGAGAAGAUAGCCUUUCUCUUGCAACACAAUAACGCCAGGCCCCAUUGCAGCGUGAAGACUGCGGAGCACAUCGCCAACGUUGGCCAGACUGUCCUACCACACCCACUUACAGUUUGGAUUUGGUGCUUUCUGACUUCCAUCUGCUUAGGCUGUGUGGGCAACAUUUUCCUGGCAAGGAUGCCAUCAUAGCAGCUGUGAAGCAAUGGGUAAUUUCUGCUGGUGCAGAUUUUUACAGGCGCUGCAUGCAGGCUCUUCACUGACAAAAACGCAGAGCUAAUGGUAGUGACUAUGUUGAGAAAUAAUGUUUUGUAGCAGAAAAUUUUCUCUAUCAAUCAAGUAGUGUAGUUGUACUCUUUGUUGUAGUUUCCACGGAAAUAAGCAGGAGGUAUUACUUCUGGAACAACUUGUGUAGCUCACAAAAAAGCUCCUGACUUCCCUAUGCUCUAAUGAACUCUUAAGUACCUGGAUCAAUUUUGCUGUACUAAUAACUUCUGAAAUAGCUUGGUUUUAUUUUGCUGCGUUAGAAGCACCUUGCUCUGAUGUGGAACUCAGAUGCUUUAAUUUCCUGGAGCGCCUUAAAGAGAUACGGGCAAUUUGGACUGUAAAGAUGUGUGUAUGAUUAAGUGUGUCACCAGCAUUCUAGGAGUGGUUGAAUAUUUGCUGCUCUAUUAGGUCCUGUGAGAAAUGAAAUUAUACAAACCUUAACUAUGCUACCUUCUGCAUAAAUAAAUCAAAUUAGAUAAUAAGGUGUUGCGAUGUCCAAAAACCAAUCAAUAGCAUUUAUCACUUACUCUGUGCUCUAGAAUUCUUUUCCAGAGCUUUUGGUACAUCAACUACUUCGCAAUUUGCUUCUACAAUGUACUGAUGAAUCCCAGCUGGUACUCCCGACCAUUUCUUCCUUUAUUCCUUUCUUUACUGUAGUGACAAUAAUUAUAGUGAUUGGGUGACAAUUUUGUCUCCUGGUCAAAAUAAAAGCAUCCUUUUUUUUUCUCUUAAGAUUAAUUAAGGUUAAGAUGUGCACGUCUUUUUGAGAGAUUGGCUGCUUGUGUUGGGUUUGUUUAUGAAGUUUUGGAUUUUUUCAAUUAAGAAAGAACUAUGUCCAUUGCAAAUGGGUAUGGCUAUGGCUUGUAGAACGAUCAUGAAAGCUACUGGUUCAAAGAAAGGGAGAAAGCAAGAGCUUUGUGAUGCACCAAACUGCGUGGGUUAGCAUUGUGCAUAGUCUUCCCCUGGAGCACAAUGCUGAGAUGCUGGAAGCAGGUCAGGAAUGAGGAUUACAAAGCCUAGGUGUCAUUACUGCCUUGGUUAUCAAGGAAGCCUCUUGUGCAGGAUCUGCUACUUUUGGACUCAGCCUAGCUUGAAGUCAAGGCUGCAAAGAAAGCCUACAAGUUGCUGGAUGUGCAGCAACGUUGUGAUAAGCUUUGCUCCUUGUUUGCUGGGUUGGUCCCAAGACAAGAAGUCAUGCUACACAUGGUUUAUAGGGAUUCUUGCAGGCAGUUAUGGGGGUUGGAAUACGCUGUACUCUCUAUGGACACUUUUUUUUCUGGAAAUUAUUGUUGGCCUUUUAAAGUAUUAUGAAAUCGAUUAAUGGAACAAGUUGUGGGGAGGGGCAUUUGCCUAGGUAAACUUUUGCUGAGAAAGAGCAUGAAUAUACUUCUCUGGUGUUUAACUGAGUAAAAAUCAUCCCGAAUCUCAGCAUAAUGGGUGCUAGUGAAAUUAUUGGCGUCUGACAAGAGAAUGCAAUAAGCCUGCUUGCUUGUUAGCUUUUAUCACUUUCCCCCGUCAUAGGCUUGUAUGUAUGGCAUUUACUUAUUUAUGCCAGGUGAUCUAUGUGAACAAGAGCUGGCAGGAGCUACUCAAUAAUGGAUGAAACACUGCAGUUCUGCUGGUGGCAAGCUCGACAGUGCAGAGGGGUGCUGAGGGGGCUUGCUGCUCCUGUAGCUGAGCUGUUUGCUCAAAUGCUUUGCCUGGCAAUAGCCAGAAACUUCCAGCAGUCCUGAGGUGCCUCAGUGAAGAAUGUUUUUCUGCAGAAUACAUCCUGACAUCUUACCUCACAGUCUGUUUCAUUUUCUAGCUGGUUGCUCCCAUGUCUAAUGAAGAGCCUGACUAGCGCUGGCCUAGGGGAACAGCACUCCCAUCUUUUUGCUACCUUUUGCAGCACUUCCAGAACUGCAUCCUGGGCUUUUAUCAUUAAGGGCUUUUAUCAUUGAGUUGGAAAAGACCUCUAAGAUCACCUAGUCCACCACCAACCCACCCCCACUAUGUGCACUAACCAUGUCCCUCAGUGCCACAUCUAUGCAUUUCUUGAACACCUCCAGGAAUACGCUUCACUAGAAAAGAAAGCAAAAUGUAUGAAAUUUGGGUAAUAACCUGGUAGACUGACUAUUCUCUGAACACAAUGGUGGGAGUAGGUCACUGAAAAGCUUCUGCCCUUAUCGUGCCUUAAUCAUAGAUCUUGGUUUCCAGGAUGCUUGGAGGCUUUAUUUUUGAUGGUUCAAAGAUUACAGUGACAAAUAUGAGAACAGAGUCAUUAGCAUAAUAAAUACCUAAGACAGGCAUAGAUCUAGCUGUAGGAAACCUUCCUGUAUUUGGCCUCUGGGAUCCAUUGCAGUGGGUGUCUAUAAAAAGUAAGCAUUGACGUCUGGUGCAGGUUACCUGCCUGUACAUCUGAAACACUAAUCCUGCUGGUUUUGCAGCAAAAUGGGGCCAGGCAGGCUCAGCUUGGGCAGCACAUUUUGUUAUAUGCUCUGGAGGAUGCUGAGCUCUUCCUUGCUAAUCAUCUGUCUAUUAAAGUCAGCUAAUAGCAAAGGUCUGAUUACAGUUCAGUGACUUGUUCACAAAGCGAUUAAUUAUUAUCUCCACUAAGUGAGGAACUUCCUCCUACAGCACAGCUGAUGAAAUAGGUAUUUAUAACCUCAUUUGUAGGAGGGGAAGGAGUUGGUUGAGCUACAGUAGCCUGGUUAAAAACACCUGACCACUUGAUCCCACAGUUAUGGUUAGGGACUCGUUCCGCUUCCUUUUAUCUGGGCAGGGUUUGACCUCAGUAGAACCUCGCUAUCUUCACCUCUCUGAUAGCUGUGGGAGGGUGCUGGCUGGCUCAUAAGCCUGUGUUUUGCUGCUCUGCUCCGAGAGGUGAUCGCUCUUUAUUCCUACCCUGUAACACCGUGGCUCAAUGCCUGUAUGGCACAGGAAAGGCUGAAGAGGAAGCAGAGAAACCAGAGCAUGGUGGAACUCCUGGGGUACAAGCCAGCAACGUUUGCUGUUUACGAGCUCCUUUCCAGCAGCACUAAUCCACCACCACUGGGGAUAUCCUACUAAUUUUAGUAUAGUAGUAGCAGAGGAACAGCUACCUUGCCUCAACUGAAGGAAUCUGCUAAUAUUUGAGGAUGGUGGGUGUUUGAAAGCAUGCCAGCAAGGUUAUGCAGCAAGUGUGCCUUUGGGCAGCGUGAUUAGAUUGCAUCCCAAUGAGUUUGUUGCUAAUUCCAUCCCAGUUUGCUCUACUGCUGUGAGCUGCUGGAGAUAUCUCUGCUGGCUCCCUCGCUUUUGCAUACAAAGGCAUCUUUGAGUGUGUGUAACAGUGUCAUUGUUUUCUUUUUUCUUUUUUUAUCUUUCACUCCCAAACGGCUAUGAACAGACGGCUUUUUCCUCUGUGCAGCUUUGUACAGAUAUUACAGUAGGGAAAGCAGCCAGGGAGCUGUGGGGGAGAGAAUUAACACUUUGUUCCUCUUCUGGGGACUAGUGAGCAGAUACAGGGGUUACUUGGCUCUGGGAGGACUGUGCCCCCCUGCUCCUGGGCUGGGAUGCAGCUCUGCUUUGCUUAAAAACAGCUGAGGGAUGGCAUGGGUUGAGGUGGCCCAACAGCGUGGGAUUUUGGAAAGCCUUUGUGUAGAAUGAAGCAUGAAGGCUGACACCAAGGGACUAGGGAAGGUAUCUGUCCCCUGCAGACCCUUGGUGGCACCUUCCUGACGCAGCGGCAAUGGCUCAGAGAGGGAAUUGGGCAGGGAUGGCAGAGAGCCUGCAUGAGCCAAGGGGCUUCCCUGUCUGCAGAAGGGAUUGCACAAAGGCAUAGGCAAAUGAUGUUUGGCCUGGUGAUUAAACUUGAAAGAUCAGCUUCCUCAGGCCUCUCAGAGGCUCUCCUUUGGGCUGCAAAUACAUACUUUUUCUGCCUGUUCUCUGACACAGCAGACUUUUGAAUUUUCAGUAUCUUGUAUACAAGACAAAACUAAUUAAAAGGUGCAGGGAAUAAAGCCUGCCCUCUGGUCGCUCUCUCCUAUGCUAUUUACACAUCACCCUCUAUGCCUCCAGGUACUGCCCAUCCUUCCACAAACAGCAGCCCUGGGCCAGGAGGUUACCAGCACUCAAGUUCCCUCUGAUAGGAAUUCCAGCAAAUACCUUUAAGCAAAUAUUUAGCAAAUAUGUAGAGCUACCAUUAAGAACAAGGAAGUCUCCUAUGAAGUUUCAGUAAUACCUGGUCCUUUGUGAGGUGAGGGUGGGGUUUGGGGGUAUAAGUGUGUCACUCCCCUUGCACAAACUCUUUGCUUUCAGUCAAUGCAUUUUUCAGCUGUAUCCCACCCUGUGCAGCUUCCUUCCACCUUUAAAAUAGCUGUGCUUGCCUUUAAUUUACAAUGGAAAUUUGUAUGACACAUGCUAGGAUGCCUUUGACACGGUGCAGUCUUCACCUGCCUUGACCCAAAGACAAGGAAGAGCACUUUGGCUUGUUUGAUCCCUUCAGUUUUUGCUUCUUCAAUCUGGGUUUCUCAGUUACUGAAAACAAUGGCUUUUAACAGGGACUGGGGAAUCCCAUUUCUGAGUGUAAAGCUACUUUUAUUUAUAUUUAAAUAUAUUUUUGAGUUUAUAUUUUUGUACUUUUUUGUGUGUGUUUCUGUUUAUGCUUGUGCUUUUCCUUUGUCCUCAACUACUUGAUCUUCCCGGUAGGCACCACGCCACACAUACAGCAAGAGGUUGUUUCCAAUGCCCAGCUGCAGGCUUGUAAUGAGGCAUUUAGUGGGGACUUUCCUCUGUGGACUCCUUCCAGGCCCGCCCUAGCUUUUUCUCCCUAACCUUGUCUGCUCCUCUGCAGCAUUUGUUUUUUUAUCUUUGGCAUACGCAGUCAUUGUUCACUAAUAAAAAGUGAUCUGACGAGAAAAGCUGGAUCUGUUCCAUCUGGUCAGGUGCUUUUUUAUCCUGCUUGGAAGUGAGAGGAGAGAGGACAAACCGACCCCUCUAACUCUGUUUCUGGAACAGGUUUCUGGAUACCUACGGCAGUUCUUUUGCCUUCAGUAUGCUGACAGUCAUUGCUAGAGGAGCAAAAUGCCUUAUCAGCCCCUCUCCAAGCUGCUCAGAGCGGAGCGAUGAGGCCAGCUGCAGGCAGCUGCCCAUCUGGGUGGUGAUAAAAGGCACGAAAGGCUGCAUCAUCACUGCUCGUGCCAUGCUGCAGAGGACCAUUACUCUUUGCCUGUGAACGAUGAAAACAAAGAGCACUGGAAAUGCUAUUUCUGAAGUCACGGGAGAAACUGUGAUGUCUUUUCUAAAAUACCUCUGCCCUGUCGAUAAACAAUGAGACUUUUCCAAAGCUGUAAAUACAAUUUAAAAGUUUUCAACCCCCCAGCCUGAAAAUGUUGAGGGAAAGGUGGGGUCGGUUUGGCAGAUGGCUGUCAAGCUCUUCCUUCACUUUCUGGAAGAAGCUGGGGCUGUCCCAAGGAGGCUCACACAAUCACGGUUAGUCAGCCCAUGUGGUCAUGGUGUUCUAGAGGCUCUGUUUACUCUUGGUAUGAAAGGGGAAAGUCCAGUGUCGGUAAAUCUGGAAGCACGAAUGCAUGCCUUAAACAUUUGUACUUGUUUUUUUUUUUUUAUGAUUAUUAUUCCUGGUUUUGGCUUUAUCAGUGACACAAAAAUUAGGGUGGACUCCUCUAUUUAAUAUCACUUAAUGUUAAAGUGAAAAGAUCAAUGCAAGAUAGAACUCAAUUUCAAAAAUAUCUUAUUUUCCACUCCCUUGCCCCUACAUAUGCACUCACUUCUACUCUUUAAAAGCGUAGGGCCACUUUUUAGCAGGUCUGACUAUUUGCAUGAGGGUGAUAUCUCAAACAGGCUCAGGGCUUGAAAAAAGCAUGGGAGCUUACAGUUGUUCUCAUUGAAAUCAUCUGUUUAUUUUCCACGUGGCUUGUUGUCCUCAUAGAAGCGUGUAUGUUUCAUGUCCUUGUUUACCCAAGCUACACAUCUUGUACCGUGAACCAGGCUUGGGCCAUGAGAGGCCCUGAGGGCCUGAGCCAAGGGUUGACCCUGUAACCUGAGUGCUGGAUCCAAGGGGAAGGUGCUAAGAGGAUUAGGCUGCCUUUAAAAUAGAGCUUUUUGACUGUCUGUCUUCCGGAUGCAGUUGUUCUGAGCACAUCCUGAGUCGAGGUUGAUGUUGCGGAAGCUUGGCUAUUAAUUUCCUGGCAAAAUGACUCUGAACCCCCUCAUGUUACAAGGUUUUGGAAGCAUUGCUUCAUCAUGUCUGGUGGCUCCAAGCCGAAGCCUUGUUGCAGACUGGAUGAGCCUGGGCAUCUUGGAGGCCCAGAGAUGUGCUAAGCAGGUUAUCAGCUCCGGGGUUUUUCAGUAGUGUUAAGGCCUUAACGGUAAAAAAAAAUAAAAUAAAUGAAUGCGUAGAGCUCCUAAAUGCUCCAGUUUUAACAAUUCACUGAUACUGUGUGGGAUACUGACCACUGAACACUGCAUCUCCUAGGUUUAACUUUAUUCUGUGGAACAGUGCAUGUGUGGGUGUCAGGAGAGUGGCUCAUGGUGCAGUGUUUCUCCACUUGUGGCCUGUGAAACCUUAGAGCUUGGAUGUGCGAGUGAAGGGGAAAGAAAAUCAGAGCCAGCAAAUCUAGUUGGAGAAGUACGGGGGUAAGGGAGAAGCAAUAAAUGAGCAUUAAGAUUAAUGUAAGUUUUAUAUGGAUGUUAAUGAAAGGUAUGGGAUCUUACUGUAACGUUUUGGUGAGGUUUUUGUUUUUUUUUUCCAAAAGCUUAAAUAGUUUUUCCAUUUCAAAAAUGAAAAGAGAAAAAAAAAGUUAGGAAAUGCUGACCUAAUGCUAGGUUUGAUCUAUGAAUAAGGUCUUAGUAAACUUUCCAACCCGUGAGCAAAGGCUUUGAAAUCUUCGCCUGCUUGUAGUGGAGCUGAAUGAGUUCAGUGGUAAAUAUGCAACAAGUGCAAUGCCUGUUUCCGCUCUUUGUUCCCCUAGGAGUCAUUUAAACAAAACAAAUUCAGUGCACACUAAUAAAGAGGGUAGGUAGCUAUUGCAGCUUAAUAGCUUGGGCUCGACCAUUUUCCUUGGCAGGGAGUUGAGGGAAUGUUUCCAGCUAGGUUAUGAUAUCUUCAUCGUGCACUGUUAUCAAGGCUUGCAUUUCCUGGUGUCAAGCCACAGAGCUGGAGAUACGCUGCUCUUUCUGCACCAGGGCUAUCCAGAGUUGUAUGCUACGUAUGUGCUGCUCCACAAAGCCCUUUGUUAUUGCUGCAGUCUUCUCCACUGGCUUUCAAAAUAUUCUCCAAACAGAGCAGCUUCAUUUUAGCAAGAAGCAGGACAUAAUGAAUGAUCUAGUCUGGGCUGUACCCCAAGCCUGACACUGCUACCUGCUCUGCAUAGUGUGGUGACUCCUCAGCCAUGGCUCGCCGUGCACACGGGAGGUGAGGAGAGCAGCUGCAGAGCUAGAAACACAGCCAGGAUUUACAUGGUGAAUGAUGUUCUAUGCCUCGCUUCCUCUACCCAGCUCUUCUGCAAUUCUUGUGCUGAACUGGAGCAUGAACCUCUGACAAAUGGGACAGUGUCACCCUUCAUCUGCAAAUGAACAACUGUAUUUGGUGGGUUUUUUUUUACUAGUCUUUAGAAAAUGGUGCAAGAAACUAGAAAAAGAUCUGCAUACUGAGGAAAUAAUAGUAUAUGGUUUCCAAAUGCUUUGUGUCCAUAGCUCAGCAGCUCUGAGGUUUGUCUUCUUUUGGGGGUUCAUAGAAUAGAAUCAUAUAUUCGUUUGAAUUGGAAGAGUCUCUUAAGGGCCAUCUAGUCCAUCUCCCCUGCAAUGAACAGGGACACCUACAGCGAGAUCAGGUUGCUUGGAGCCCCAUCCAGCCUGACCUUGGAUGUUUCCAGGGAUGGGGCAUCCAUCACCUCUCUGGACAAACCUGUUCCAGUGCCUCACCACCAUUAUUGUAAAAAAAACUUCAUCCUUAUAUCCAGUCAAAAUCUCCACUCAUAGUCUGAAACCAUUUCUCCUAGUCCCCCCUCCUUGUAGAUGAAGCUUUGUCCUUCGACUGCCCAAGGUGGGAGCCUUCUCUGCAGCUGGGAACAUCAAUGAGAAGUUACUUAUGGCACCUCUACCUUCCUCUAACUUUUUAAGCAUAAUGAGCAUAUUGAAAUUUGAGACACUGAAAUUUGCUGGAGGGGUUGCUAAUUACUAGGAGUUGAAAAUGAGCUAGGUAAUGUGACAGUACAUCUUCAGGAAACUCUAACAUUGCUGAUUCACUUAGCAUCCUCUAACAGCUGCUGUUCCAGCUUCAACUUGCACAUUGUUUUUCUUUCUAGUUUGGUGUGAAUGCAUUCUCCUUUGCUAGAAGAUUGAUUAUCAAGAAAUCAUGCCUGAAAGAUUUUUAAUUUACCUUCGACAUCUAGAGGGAACUGAUGUUCAGACAUGCAAUAUGAUGAAGUACAGUCUAGUUUACAUCAGAAAACUGUUAAUCUUGCCAACUGGACCCCUAAUUAGAAAGAAGCAAAGCAUUUGCGGUGAGCGACAGAUUAACUGAGAAAUUCAGAUCAGAAUUAUUCAGAAUCCUGAGUCAAAUUCAGUCAAUAACUGAGCAGAAUUAAAAAGAUCUUGAAACGCAAGCAUAUAGAAUAUACUUUGAUGCUUAAUUGCUUAUUUCUACAGGCUUUUUAAAUUAUUUAACCUUUAGGAAAUUGAAUCAAACCAUUAUAAAAAUGGAACUCUUAGUUAUUUUGUCUCUGGUUUUGUUAAGAAAUAAAUGUUUGCUUCUGUAGUUUUGGUUCUGUCUAACAACAACAAAAAAAAAAGUAAUGAUAAUUAUGGUUUGCUCUCAAAGAUACUUUAUUAUGUGGCCAGUGUUACCACUAGUAACGUGUUCAAUUUUGCACACACUGGUGGCUAUUUUUUUAUGAUAAAAUCUAUACCUGAACUCUAAAGAUUAUUUCAGCUCUCAGAACAAUAGUACCUAAAAUGCUAUACAUUGAACCAUGCACUUUAGAGGCUGAUUUUAUGUGCCUUACCUUUUCAAGAGCCCCAGAUCAUUGAUUUAAGGAGAUCUGUGCAGUCCUCACUGCUACUGAAAGUAUCGUCAUUGCCAUUGCUGCUCACAUGUGGAUGUAGAGCCUGAAUUUUCAGCCUGGAAACUUAAAUACCUGCAGCACACUUCACAGCAUAUUUUUUUAAUUGUCUACUUAUUUGGCUGUACAACUACCCUGAGCCUCUCUGCAGAACCACUGUGUUUGCAGUUAUGAUUUUCAGUCACAUGAUGAUCAUCACAAAAGUCUAGCAAAGCAUUUUGCUCUGUACUAGUGAGGUGGUACAACUAGAUGUCAGUAUUCAGGAAGUUUAUGUUUCCGACAGUGACACUGGGUACAAGUCCCACUCUUUCCCCAACAACUUUGGCCAGUCAUGGUUGUGUUAGUGGAGAGGCUGCCUUACCAUAUGUCUCCAAAGUGGCUACUUCUCUCCCCUCUUGGUAGCCAGGUCCUGUCUCCAGUAUUGCUACUGAAAAUUAAAACAAGACCAUUCUUCUUUUCACUGUCCUCUCUUUGUGUAGGGCCAGCACCUGUUUGCACCAAAAUGUAGUGGAGCCCUUGAGGACAGGUGGUGAGACACAGAUGUGGGUGCUGCACCCUUAGGUGUGCUGAGACCUCACGUGGACAGAGACAAGUGAGGAGAAAGUAGUUAUGAGUGCUCAGGGUUUCCAUAGGGAAUAUGACUCCAGCAGUCUGUAGCACCUCCUGCAAAUUGCUGUAGCUAUUAGAACUCUGCCAUGGUGAAACUUGCUCUGUGGUGGUCUUCUGUCCUGCAACACAGACAUCAAUGGACUGCCUAUUCUGUCUUCAUAAAGGAACCUUGUUCUGCAGGGGACAUGAUGCAAAGAGUCUGAAAGCUUGAUAUAUCUGAAUGUCUUCCAACUUCGAUUCCCAGAAGUCUUGUUCUAAGAAAUAGUGUUGAAUAUACACACAGUACAAAGGGGUGCAGGGAGAGACUCAGCAGGAGAUGAGUCUCCCAGCAAAACAUCACCAGUCUUGGAGUAGCACAAUUAAAUAGCCUGCCUUGGGUCUUUUAACUCAAGUUGCAAAGAUUUCUUCUUUAGGAAAUCACAUUGCCUGGGAAAUGCAAUAACCUGAUGUGUGUUUGAUCAGCAACACUCUUUAGUCUAGAGGUUUAUUUUCCAGUCCUUGUGUGGUCAUGCAUAUGAAUUUCAGGAUGCAUUUAGGCCUAAGAGCCAGCUGAUGUUAGGAGUUCCCCCACUCACUACAACAACUGGAUAGUCUUCAUUUGCCAGUCUAGCAGCAAGAAAUACGAGCAAAACUUUCCCAUAUUCUUGAGCCCCCAAACUUUCCCCUUAGUCUGAGUUCACAGCAGCCAAUAGUCCCCAAGACUGUCAUUGCUUCCUGUUUGUUUAGGUUUAGACGUUCACAGACAUGCUUUGGGAAUUGACUGUAGCAGAGCCAAGUUGUGAAGUUUGCUGAAGGAAGUUCUGUGGUGGCAGAAGGAACUGGAAAAAUUUCUCCCUCUGCUUUCCCCAGCCUAGAUGAGGUAUUGACAAGUUCAGCAGAGCCAUUGGCCUCCAGCUGACUCUGUUCUGCUUCUUUUAAUAUCUUUAAACCUCAGCGUGAGGAACCAGACUCCAUACACAUUUGCUCUUGGGAAUAUUGUAACAAAAGCCAAUGCACUCCCCUGGAGAGGUUAAAGAACCACCUUGACAAGCAAGCAAAUUGGAAAAAUAAACUACAGCAAAAAAACGAGCGAAGGAAGAAGAGCACAAAUGUAUUAGUCAUCUCUUAAUUGCUCUUGGAGCCCAAUAUGUUUAACAUCCUGAAAUAGAAAGCCCAUCAGUUCAGUUCUGUACAUUAGCAAUUUAAAAAGAAAGUAAAGUAAGACCUCCUGAGAGUGGAGUCGUGUAUAUUUUCAUAUUGUCAAAUGAGUGCUUUUCCUGUUUACAAUCUCUCAACUUAAUCCUUGAUACUUUAUGAUAUUCAGGACUUCUAGACAAAUUCCAUUUUGGACAAGAGAGAAGUGUUUUUCUGGGCUUCCAGGAAAUGUAUUUCAUAUUGCAUGACCUAAGUGUGCCAACGUCCUGCUAAUGUAAGAACUCUUGUAUGUGAAUAACCCUGAGAGCUGUGCAAGAACUUUCAGACUUCAAUGUUUUCUUGCUUGGAAAUCUCCUUUUUGAAGCCUGUGUCUCAGAGAUGAGGGCAUCUAUAGAUCCAUUCAAUUCAGCAUAGCUAGAUUCUUUUGUCAAUAAAGUCUGUAUUUUUUCCUAAGCCAUUUACCAGGCCAACUACCCCUCUCCCUCUUGCACAGUGAAUGUAAUGGAAAUUGCCUAAGUGGGAACGUUUGGUUUGCACGUAAUAGACAAAGUGAUCUUCCCUACAGCUCUCUGGGGGCCAUCCUUUGUUCACAUUUCUUGGGUAUAUCAACUGUGCCAAAAGUUGCCAUCACCUGUCUCCUGUUAAAGAACAUUUCCCCUAAUACGUCUGUCCCCGUUUCCUUCCUCCCCAUGACUUCAUUCUUCUCUCAUUACUGCUUCAUGCACCGGUAUUACUUCAGUUCCUGGGUGCUAUUUCUUGGCCCUUCACGUAGAUGUGGUCAGCUCUGGUUCGGAAGCAUCAGAUACUUUCUGCAAGACAUGCUGAGGCUGUGAAGACAGCAUCCUUUUGAAAUCUGCUUGUGCACAAAUUAACGGUAGGCACAGUGCUGAUGCUGUGGGUUAUUGUGUGACCCAUAAUUUUGCUUGGCAUUGCUGACAUAACUGAUCCUACAGCAGUAAUCAAGCAGGUUUACAUUCUUUAAUGUGUUUCCCAUGAGGUGUUGCUCACAGUGAUAUUUUGGUGGUGGAGAAAAUUAUGUAUUGGAAAAAGCAUUGUGGUCAUAGUUACAUGGCAGAGAUUAAAUGGUACCAUGUUGAAGAACGGUUGUUGUGUGAAAAUAACCGAUACUUUAAACUGAAACUGUGUUUUUAACUAUUUUCUUUGAAAUUUAUAGCUAGUGCUUUAUUUAUUUUGCUGUGCAUUAAGACUCUUUGGCAGUAUGAAUUACUGUGAUUUUUAGAAGCACUUUCUAGCAGUGGAUUUAAAGGUCAUUCCAAGAGGGGCCAAACAGAUUACCAAGCCUUCUGAUUUCUGGAUCACCACUCUGCUCUUUCUAGUGGUUGCUCAAGGGUCCAUAAAUGCGCUGAAAUGGUGGCUCUGUUUUUAACAGAGAAAGAGCACGCACACCUGGAGCAAAAUCUAAAAUCAGAACUGGAGGUCUAAAAUCAGAUUUAGGAGUUCAGAUGAGUCUUCAGUUUUGGUCAAAAUCCUCGCUCUCCACUAUCAACACCACAGUGCUAUCAAAGGUAUUGGCAUUCCUUAUAAUUUCUAGCGCAGAAGCCAGCAGGACGUGAAGACAUUCAACCUCCAUAAGUUAAUCACUGCUUGGAGAAAACUUAGGUGAACAGUGCUUAAUGCUAUACCAGUUCCAGGAAGGAGAAGAAGGAUUUCAUUCUACAGUGUUCCCAGUCUCCAGGCACUUAAUAAGAGCUAAAUUCGCAUGCAGCAGUCUCUCAAAUGAGCUCAGCAGGGAGCGCUGGCAUUUGCAGCAUCUGCUGAGCUGACUUCCAGCCCUCCACUACCCGUGAACUUUAGUGGUAGCGGUGGGGACAGCAGGAACAUUGGUGUCAAAGGGAGGAAAUUCAGACAGAGUCUGUGGAAAGAGAUCUUCAGACACAGUUAUUUGUCAUGCUCGUUCUGUAAUCCUGUGUUGCUGAGAGCUAAUACUUAAAGCAAGGGUCACUGAUGGAGAAUGAAUGGGGUAAGGCAGUAUUUGAGGACUACCUGGGGAAGAGGAUCCCCACUGUCAACUCUGUACAGAGGGACCAAAGGAAAUUGAUUGUUUCUCAUUUGUUUCCUGGUGUAAUAUCCUAGGGCCGUGGACUCUCCCCUCAUUAUGUCAGGGUUACUGAUCUAGAGUCAGCUGUGAGCAAGGAAAGCUGCUGGAAGAAAAACGUUUUCAUUGGAAAUGCAGGAUAACCACAGCAUGCUGAGCUUCACUUUUGGAGCACUUCUUGGCUUUGGCAGUGCUGUUGAGCUGCAGUGAUGGAGGGAGUUAUCUCCUUGGUGUACCGCAUAGGAGAAUAGCCACGGGGCUCAAAAGAAUGGGUUUUAACAUCACUUUAAGCAAUGCCCCAGACACACAUGUAUUUUACAGUCUGUGACUGAGGGAAGUCUAUCACCUGGCCAUUUUGGUGAUGAUCUGUGCCUGCCUGAUGGCCACAACAACCAAAUGACAAGAUCUCAUCACAAACCAGUUGGGGAGAAUAGUGAUGUCAUUCCUAGUAGGGGGAAUACCAUGCUGAGACUCUGAUUUCCUGCUACAAGAAAAGGUCAGGAAAAGGCUUUCUUUUACAGAAGAGCAUUGGACCAAAUUCAGUACUGGGGUACAUUUACAGAAUGUCCCAUACCUUUGUAACUGGGCAGUUUUCUAACCUGAGAAAAGAGAGAAAAAGUCUUCCUGGGUAGGGACUCCUUCUAGCUGUCUAGAGUGACUGUGAAUUCUUUUGGUAUAGAGUUUAAGUUGUCCUUGGUAAUGUGUGGGGUUAUUUUUAUUAAUUUUACCUUCCUGCAGCACCUUCAAGAUGUCCAGUAGGUACAAACAGCAAGACUUGGCAGCAGGGAUGGGCAGGCGGCACUUUUUUCUUCUUUUAUUCAAUCUUUUUUAAGACACACUUCUCAGUAUUGAAUGGGCAGAAAUGUUGUUGUUUAUUGUAAACAACCCUAGAUGUGGAAUGUGGGAGAGUUUUCUGUGUGCAGCAAUGAAAACAUUCCUUUGCUAUGCGUAUGAAAAGUUUCCAAUAUACAUUGCUAAAAGACUUUUUAACUUUUUCUUUCCCUUUACAGCUUGUACCCCCAGGCUCUUUAGUAUUAACAAAAUCAACUUGUACUGAUAAAAUUUGAAUGCUCAUCUGCUUUUUAUCUGGGGGUAUCUAAGCUAUUUUGCGUGUCUACAGUGAUGACACGGAAGUAGAAAGGUCCUUGUUGAGAUGUGUGCUGAUGGGUUAAGUGUUUGGUAUGACUCUAGGGCAAACAAAUUACCAGUGCAAACUUCUGAAGCUCCAUAACAGAAUGUAAAUACCUAGAAAGACUGAAUACAGACUGUACACACAAGCUCUAGGGGUUAUGUUUGUUUUGUUUUCUAAGCCAAACCCAACUCCAUUUGAGCACAGUGAACUACAUAAAUUAUUUCUCUCUCCAAAUAACUAAACUUCAAAAAAAAAAAUCCUCUCCCAUCCCUAGCACAUACACACUCAGACCAGAUAGGUGCCCCCACAAACACGUGUGGGUCUCUGGGCAGAAGCGCAGUCCUUGCAGCGAGCCCCAUCCCCUACAGGAUGAAGCAGUCAACAUUGAGAUCUCCACUGAGCAGCACCCGCAGAGGGGAACUUGUUGCUAUUUCACUCUGCAGCUGAAGAAACACACAGUAGUGGCAGGGAGCCUUGGGGCAGCUGAUUUAAGGGUUGGUUUUGUAAGCUGUUCCUUACUAUCUGGCAUUCAUAAAAUUUACCUUGAAUAGCUGGUUUGUUGUAUUUUUUUCUUUCUGCUAACCAAUUAAAGUCCUACCAGAAGAGCAUCAUGCUGGCCAAACAUUUUCAGACCAUUUCUUGAGCUGCACCAGAUGGCACCCUCCAUGCUGCAGUCCAAUGGGUAGUGCUUUAUUCCCCACUCUAGUUAAGAUCUGCUCCACUCCUUUCCAAGGCACUCUGCUAACGCAAGCAGUAAAUUCUCUCCCCAGAGGGAGCUUCCCACCAUCCUCUGUUCUGUUCUGAACAAAUGAAGUAAGAUUAAAAGAGAAUAAUUGCUUCUGGGCAGUCAGUUCCUGACCAACCACGUGGUGAUUCCACGCACUUCGGACAGAAACUUUAAUGCAGAGUCGCUAAUCAACAUCAAACACAUGAACGUCAAUGGCUGAUAAAAUUUAAUUGGGUGUUUGUUUAAAAAUAUCGCAGGCAGUAUGUACUUGAAGCAUCAAAGGUUGGGUUUCAGAACUUCAGACAAUACUCUUGUUAAUGUUUUUGGGAAUUGCCAAUCUUCCAGGUCCCUUCCAUUCGUUCCCCUUAGCCCUGAAACUGUGUUCUACCCGUUCUUUGCUAACAGCAGAAGUUGGAAGGCAUGUGGUGAUUGAAGCAGGCAUUGGUAGAAGAGGAAAGCAGUCUCUAGCAGCUGAACGUGGUCCUAAAGAAAGGGAUUCCUUCCCAGCCUGAGCUAUAGAGCUCUGGUGAGGUGCUACAGGUGUUCCACUGCUCUUGGUCAUUCCCAUUCCUGUGCCCAUCUGCGAUCUGGUUUGAAUCAUUAAACCCUCAAAAUUUAAAUAGAAAUUGGCAGAACGUGCUCUAAAUACAUAACUUUGACCUUCCAAGAAGGCUACAUCUUCCUGUGUGUCUGUUGCCUCUCUGUAAAAUACGGGCAACAGAGCAUUUUCAGGGGGGGUUACAUAAGUUUGUUAAUACUUUCCAAGGACUUGGAUGCUGUAGUGCAGUGCAGAUGAGGCCAUGAGGAAAAGACAAAUUCUGUCCUCACCAUGGGGGCUGGACAGUAUGCCAUGAGGAAGGCCAACAGUCUCAUGCUGAGCUUUGACAAGAAGAAAACAGCAUAUUCAACGACUGCUGAUUAAGUGAGUACUUUUCUCUGCGUUAAAAUAAGGUAGGAAUGCCAGAGAAGAAGUCAUAUGUAGUAUCUUAUUGAAGACUAAUAACUCUUUCUGCAAAAGGAUUAAGGUGGGUGAUCUGCCUUAGCUUUCAGUGAGGGAUUGAAAGCUUUCAAAUGCUACCCACAAGCAUGUACUUUGAACUAAGACAAAGAAACAAUGCAAACAAAAACAGGAAAUCAGCUCUACGGAUUUUAUGUCUGUGUGAUUGGCCAGCUGGUGGAUGACGCAGCCCAACACGGACAAGUUGACAGCAGUGAUAGGUUGACCUUCUCUGGGUUGAUCGAUGCUAGGGGUGUGGGGCUCCUUUGCCAGGAGUUGGACAAAAGGUGAUUUGUCCCACUCCUUGCCUUAUGCUUGCCCUCAUCAUUUCUAGAUACCUCCUGUGGCCACGGUCUUGGGCUGUCAUCUGUCUACAGACAGACCUGGUGUCUCCUUUCUUCCCUCCCAUUACUACAAAAUGUCUACUCUAAUGACCUUUUGGCCUUGUACUUUUGGUGGGUUUUUGUGGUUGUUCCCCACCCCCAACCCAAUUUUAAAUUACUCUUUCCUUCAGUGAAGAAAUUGUCUAGCUGCAGAACAACAGGCAGCAUAGAGCAGCGGUUGCAAGGGAAAUCCCCUAACUUUCCGUUAAUUCCUGGCAGAGCACAUCCAAUAGGGAUGGUGCACGUGCAGUGUAGUCAGGUUUGGCCAAGUACAGUGGAUUUUCAGAAAAUGCUAAAUACACGUUUUUAGUAGAAGGGAUUUUCCACUAAUGGACAGGAAAAUCUUACUUUACAGAGAGGAGGGUGCUGGGAGUGUUUGAAAAACAACCACAUUGCAUCAUUUGACACAGAAAAUGAACAACUUCUGUCACCCUUGCCCUGCAGAAAUGGCCCAAAACUUAUGCUUUUGUGUGAAGGGUGUUCAGCAGCUGAUGGACUGCAGCUCUGCCUGCAGUAUCCUGCAUUCGUGUUGUCACUGGCAGCAGUGGCCUGAAGCUGUAGGAAGAUUUAAAACUGGUUAUUAGAACAACUUGACAGAGCCAGGAAGAAAACCUAGCAAGCGUUAACACCUGAAGGUGAACCUGCAUAUCCAAGAGCUCAUUUAUUUGAAUAUUGGCUGUGCCAUAAGAGCUACUGUGUCUCCGUACAGACCUUUCUAGCCUUCAGCAUGUUAAGCAGAGCGUGUUGGGCAUCACAGUGCUGCGGCCCCAUGGAUUAGGAGUGAGCUUGGAAGAGCAUAAAAGAAAUAUGCCCUGGUUAGUGUGGGGCUUGGAGGCUGAGGUCUGCUCUGAUACAGUAGAGCCAUGAGGGUGCCUCAUCUUCCCUACAGCUGCUGUGUUUCACCUGCCUGGGGCCAACCAGGAGCUCCAGGUAGCCUCCGCUCCAAGGAAAGUCUCCUGCAUUUAGAGGCCUAGGUGUUCUCCCACAGGUCCUAAGCACUGAGGAAUGCAGAGAUGAGAUGUAUCAAACUGACUCUCUUCUUUCCUGUUGCCUCAUGCAUUUCUCACUCCUCCUCCUGCCCAAAGAUAUGUCCCAUCACUAGCUCCUCCUGAGAAGAUCCCCAGCAGUUUCUGUUGUUCUGAUACAGCUGAUAAGAAAAAAAAGUCUUCAGAAGAAAAAGACCACAUUGCCUUCUCCCUGGUGGCAUUCUCACCAUAGAGAACUGACAGAUUACAAAUCACAGAGUAGGUGGCAAUAUCCCAUUGAAGAUCAGGUGAGACAAAAUCUUAAAAUGACAACAAAACUACAUAACAAGUAGUGGAGAAUUAGUGGGAUUCAGGAAUUUCUCUGCUCCUCACAGUCACCAAGCAUACAAUGCCAGGGAUCAUUUUCCUUGCGAUGCUGACUUUUGCAUUUGUCACUUGUUACCUUUUUCUUUGAAUGUGGUAAUCAGAAGUUUUUUAAAAAUCUACUUUUCCUCAGCCUUCUUUGAAAGCAAUCCUAAAUCAUGUUCUUGCUCACAGAUUCCCUGGUAAUUCAGGAAGAAAUGUAGGGUUUGAGUCCAUUGUUUAAGAAUUGCUAUAUAUAGUAUAACUAACAGCCAGAAGAAGAGGCUAUCAGCCUCUGCUAUAAGCUAACCCUGGUCUGGUUAGUGAAAUUCAGGAAUGAAGUUGAAUCUCUCAACUGUGCUCUUGUGAUCUGUACAUCCUAUAGGGGAGAACGUCUCAUUCAUUCCAGCAUCUUGCUCUCUUCAAAAUGCCUACAUCCUUAUUUUGCUGGAUGUAGGACGUAGACCUGUUGGAGCAUGUCCAGAGAAGGGCCACAAAAAUAUUUCAAAGGAUGGAACACAUCUCCUCUGAGGACAGGCUGAGAGAGCUGGGGCUGUUCAGCCUGGAGAAGAGAAGGCUCCAGGGAGACCUAAGAGCAGCUUUCAGUAUCUAAAGGGGGGCUGUAAGAAAGAAGAAGACAGAUAGGGCCUGUGGUGACAGGGUAAGGGGAAAUGGUUUCAAACUUAAAGAGGGGAGAUAAAGAGGUUGGAUGUAAGGAAAAAAGAUGGUGAGGCACUGGAAUAUGUUGCCCAGAGAGGU